GCGGGCAUGGUGAAGCGGUAUCACAAUAGCCUUCCAAGCUAUUAUGACGGGUUCGAGUCCCGUUGCCCGCU
rnacentral:tRNA from 1 species